rnacentral:rRNA from 1 species
AAAACUUUGCAAUGCGGGAAACCGUGACAAGGGAACUCUGAGUGCCCGUUAAAUCGGGCUGUCCAUCGGUUUAAAUAACCGGUGAAGAAAGGGCCGGGCAAGACCGGUGCCAGCCGCCGCGGUAAUACCGGCGGCUCGAGUGGUGGCCACUAUUACUGGGCUUAAAGCGUUCGUAGCUGGUUUGUUAAGUCUCUGGGGAAAUCUUCCGGCUUAGCCGGAAGGCGUCUCAGGGAUACUGGCAGACUAGGGACCGGGAGAGGUGAGAGGUACUCCAGGGGUAGGAGUGAAAUCCUGUAAUCCUUGGGGGACCACCUGUGGCGAAGGCGUCUCACCAGAACGGCUCCGACAGUGAGGGACGAAAGCUGGGGGAGCAAACCGGAUUAGAUACCCGGGUAGUCCCAGCUGUAAACGAUGCGCGUUAGGUGUAUCGGUGACCACGAGUCACCGAGGUGCCGAAGAGAAAUCGUGAAACGUGCCGCCUGGGAAGUACGGUCGCAAGGCUGAAACUUAAAGGAAUUGGCGGGGGAGCAC